rnacentral:rRNA from 1 species
AGUUUGAUCCUGGCUCAGAUUGAACGCUGCGGCAGGCCUAACACAUAGCAAAGUCGAACGGUAACAGGAAGAAGCUUGCUUCUUUGCUGGACGAGUGGCGGACGGGUGAGUAAUGUCUGGGAAACUGCCUGACUGGAGGGGGAUAACUACUGGAAACGGUAGCUAAUACCGCAUAACGUCGCAAGACCAAAAAAGGGGGGACCCUUUCGGGCCUCUUGCCAUCGGAUGUGCCCAGAUGGGAUUAGCUAGUAGGUGGGGUAACGGCUCACCUAGGCGACGAUCCCUAGCUGGUCUGAGAGGAUGACCAGCCACACUGGAACUGAGACACGGUCCAGACUCCUACGGGAGGCAGCAGUGGGGAAUAUUGCACAAUGGGCGCAAGCCUGAUGCAGCCAUGCCGCGUGUAUGAAGAAGGCCUUCGGGUGUAAAGUACUUUCAGCGGGGAGGAAGGGAGUAAAGUUAAUACCUUUGCUCAUUGACGUUACCCGCAGAAGAAGCACCGGCUAACUCCGUG